CAGGCCAAACUUGGGGCUGGAAAACAACUGUAUAUGAACUGGGCAAACCAAGGAGGGGAGGGUCUGUGAAAGACACCUGCCAAGAGUGUGGUUCUGAGCUGGUCUGUAAAGGAAUAUCAUGACAAAGAUGUAAAAGGUAGUACUAUUGGUGUGAAGAGAUGCGUCUGCUGGAACCUGCCCUGCGAAUGUUUGCUCCGUCUGCAUAAUGGCACCAUGUGCGACAUUCCUUUUAAUGUCUAAUUGAAAAGAUGCACAAGCAUACAAAUUUCUGAAUUCAAAGCAUCACCAUGUCCUGAGGACUGUGAAAACUGAUGAGCAGAGGAAAGUCUGAAGCCACUUUGGGCAGUCAGUGCCUACCUACUUCAUCCCAGCAGGAAGAAAAUAGGAGCAAAGAUGUUCUGUCUCCCCAGAAGGCAACAGCAGUAUUUCCCCUCUUCCCAUCCCACUCCCAACAAGGGUUUCUUCCUGCUUUGAAAAACCGUCCACACUAGGACUUUGCUCCGC